GAUGAAGAACGCAGCGAGACGCGAUAUGUAAUGUGAAUUGCAGAAUUCAGUGAAUCAUCGAAUCUUUGAACGCACAUGGCGCCUUCCAGUAUCCUGGGAGGCAUGCCUGUCCGAGCGUCGUUUCAACCCUCGAGCCCCCGUGGCCCGGCGUUGGGGAUCUGCCCAGGCAGUCCCCGAAAACCAGUGGCGGACCCGUUACAGGCCCUUCCCUUGCGUAGUAGCAUUCGCCUCGCAUCGGGAGCCGGCGGGCUUCCAGCCUCUAAACCCCCAUCAAGUCCGCCCCGGCGGCACCAAGGUUGACCUCGGAUCAGGUAGGAAUACCCGCUGAACUUAAGCAUAUCAAUAAGCGGAGGA
rnacentral:misc_RNA from 1 species